rnacentral:rRNA from 2 species
AACGAACGCUGGCGGCAUGCCUAACACAUGCAAGUCGAACGCAGUAGCAAUACUGAGUGGCGGACGGGUGAGGAACACGUGGGAACAUGCCGAAUGGUGGGGGAUAACUGCGGGAAACUGCAGCUAAUACCGCAUAAGCCCUGAGGGGGAAAGAUUUAUCGCCAUUCGAUUGGCCCGCGGCAGAUUAGGUAGUUGGUAGGGUAAAGGCCUACCAAGCCGAUGAUCUGUAACUGGUCUGAGAGGAUGACCAGUCACACUGGGACUGAGACACGGCCCAGACUCCUACGGGAGGCAGCAGUGGGGAAUAUUGGACAAUGGGGGAAACCCUGAUCCAGCAAUGCCGCGUGAGUGAAGAAGGCCUUCGGGUUGUAAAGCUCUUUUGCCUGUGACGAUGAUGACAGUAACAGGAGAAUAAGCCCCGGCUAACUCCGUG